AGGCGUGGAGCUGCAGGCUUGGUAACAGACUUGCGAAACAAAGAAAGACAGUUAAAAACAUGAAGGUCCAAGUGUUUCUGAUGAUUUCUGUCUUGCUGAUGUUUACUGGCGUUGUUCAACAUUCAGUGGAGGCUUUCAACGGAGUUUUCCCUCCGGGCAGAAGACAGCUUUCUUCCACAGAGUUUGAGAUGAAAACCAGGAGUAUCUGUGGACUGGCCAAACAGUUGGACUGUACGGGAGUGAAAAUGGACGUCUAACCCGUGAAACUGAAGCCAUCUAUCAGAAAACCUUUUAAGUAAUCAGCUAUGAUAAAAUAAACACUUAAAAACCUUUGUAAGUUUAUGAAUAAAGAAACACCACUGAUGAAAAUCUAACAAUGA